rnacentral:rRNA from 1 species
UACAGAGACUGCGAGCGUUAUUCGGAUUCACUGGGCGUAAAGGGUGCGCAGGCGGCCAUUUGAGUCAGGCGUGAAAGCCCGGGGCUUAACCCCGGAAUUGCACCUCAAACUACAUGGCUAGAGCAGUGGAGAGGGUAGCAGAAUUCAUGGUGUAGCAGUGAAAUGCGUAGAUAUCAUGAGGAAUACCAGAGGCGAAGGCGGCUUGCUGGACAAUUGCUGACGCUCAGGCACGAAAGCGUGGGGAGCAAAAGGG